ACCUUUGCUGUCUUGGGACGGAUCACCGCUGCAAGAGGGGAAGUUGCUACUGUGAUGAAUUCUGCCAUGUGGCACCAGACUGCCACCCAGACCACAGUGUCCUCUGCAACCCUGCUUCUCAGAUGACCAAGAUGGUGCUGCAGAUGGUGCUGAGGAUGGAGAACCCACCAAGCCCCGCUAGGAGCCACCUAGACUGGAUGCAGAGCAUGGAGUUUUAUUUGCUUCCAAGAAGGAAGGCAAGAUUUCCUGGGUCCGUGAUGAUGGAAGGCUGACAACUCUUUUAUGGAGUUUGAGCUUGCUCCCAGCAGGGAAGACAAGUUCGAGUUUUUUUCCUGCUUCAAGGAUGGUAGAGAGCAGUCUUCAGCCUGAGACCCAUCCCUAGGCCCCAGCACCCGCAGAGCAGACACUGCGAUGACAACGGACGACACAGAAGUGCCCGCUAUGACUCUAGCACCGGGCCACGCCGCUCUGGAAACUCAAACACUGAGCGCUGAGACCUCUUCUAGGGCCUCAACCCCAGC
rnacentral:misc_RNA from 1 species